GCCAGUGUGACGUAGUGGUUUGAGUGUUGGACUACAACUCUGGAAACCAGGGUUUAAUUCCCAGCUCAGCCA
rnacentral:tRNA from 1 species